rnacentral:rRNA from 1 species
GAUGAACGCUCGCUACAGGCUUAACACAUGCAAGUCGAGGGGAAACGACAUCGAAAGCUUGCUUUUGAUGGGCGUCGACCGGCGCACGGGUGAGUAACGCGUAUCCAACCUGCCCAUCACUUGGGAAUAACCUUGCGAAAGUAAGACUAAUACCCAAUGAUAUCCCACGAAGGCAUCGGAAUGGGAUUAAAGAUUUAUCGGUGAUGGAUGGGGAUGCGUCUGAUUAGCUUGUUGGCGGGGUAACGGCCCACCAAGGCAACGAUCAGUAGGGGUUCUGAGAGGAAGGUCCCCCACAUUGGAACUGAGACACGGUCCAAACUCCUACGGGAGGCAGCAGUGAGGAAUAUUGGGCAAUGGGCGAGAGCCUGAACCAGCCAAGUAGCGUGCAGGAAGACGGCCCUAUGGGUUGUAAACUGCUUUUAUAAGGGAAUAAAGUGGGUCACGUGUGACUUUUUGCAUGUACCUUAUGAAUAAGGACCGGCUAAUUCCGUG